rnacentral:misc_RNA from 1 species
UGUAAUUUUUUGCUGGACUCUAGAAUCUGAGGUCAGCUCCCCUGAAAUGCAUCAGCGAAACAAUUUGUUUACCGCUCAUUGGUGUGAUAACUAUCUACGCUAUUGACGGUGAAGCAUGUUUAGCUUCUAACAGUCCACUAACUUGGACAAUCUCUUAUUAAUGUGACCUCAAAUCAGGUAGGACUACCCGCUGAACUUAA